rnacentral:rRNA from 1 species
AUAGACCAUGAGAUCUGGAAUGACUCAUGGUUCAAAGCUUCCGGCGCUUUAGGAUCGGUCUGCGGCCUAUCAGGUAGUAGUGGGUGUAAUGUACCCCCUAGCCUAUUACGGGUAUGGGCCUUGAGAGAGGGAGCCCAGAGUUGGAUUCUGAGACACGAAUCCAGGCCCUACGGGGCGCAGCAGUCGCGAAAACUUCGCAAUGGGCGAAAGCCCGAUGAGGGAAUUCCUAGUGCUAGCACUUUUGUGUUAGCUUUUCUUUAGCGUAGAUAACUAGAGGAAUAAGGGCUGGGUAAGACGGGUGCCAGCCGCCGCGGUAAUACCCGCAGCCCGAGUGGUGGUCGAUUUUAUUGAGUCUAAAACGUUCGUAGCCGGUCUGAUAGAUCCUUGGAUAAAUCGGGGGGCUUAACCUUCCGAAUUCCGAGGAGACCGUCAGGCUUGGGAUCGGGAGAGGUAAGAGGUACUUCAGGGGUAGGGGUAAAAUCCUGUAAUCCUUGGAGGACCACCGGUGGCGAAGGCGUCUUACUAGAACGAAUCCGACGGUGAGGGACGAAGCCCUAGGUCGCAAACGGGAUUAGAUACCCCGGUAGUCUAGGGUGUAAACGCUGCAGACUUGGUGUUGGAGGCCCUUCGGGGGCAUUCAGUGCCGGAGAGAAGUUGUUAAGUCUGCUACUUGGGGAGUACGUCCGCAAGGAUGAAACUUAAAGGAAUUGGCGGGGGAGCACCGCAACGGGAGGAGCGUGCGGUUUAAUUGGAUUCAACACCGGAAAACUCACCAAGGGAGACCAUCACAUGAAAGCCAGGCUAAUGACUUU